AGUGAACGCUGGCGGCGUGCCUAAUACAUGCAAGUCGAACGGAGUGGCUCACGGGUGAGUAAUUUACAGCUAAUCAGCCCUACACUAGAGGACAACAGUUGGAAACGGCUGCUAAUACUCUAUAGUGUAGGUUGAGGCUAUAUAGUAUCAGCUAGUUGGUGAGGUAAUGGCUCACCAAGGCUAUGACGCAUAACUGGUCUGAGAGGAAGAUCAGUCACGCUGGAAGUAGGAAACGGUGCGGACUCCUACGGGAGGCAGCAGUAGGGGAUAUUGCUCAAUGGGGUAAGCGCUGAAGCAGCAACGGCGGGUGGGGGAUGAUACUUUUCGGAGCGUAAACUCCUUUUGUUAGGGAGGCGGUACCUAACGAAUAAGCAACGGCUAACUCCGUGCCAGCCGCCGCGGUAAUUC
rnacentral:rRNA from 1 species